UACAGAGGCCUCAAGCGUUGUUCGGAUUCAUUGGGCGUAAAGGGUGCGUAGGUGGCGCUGUAAGUCGGGUGUGAAAUCUCGGGGCUUAACUCCGAAACUGCAUUCGAUACUGCCGUGCUUGAGGACUGGAGAGGAGACUGGAAUUUACGGUGUAGCGGUGAAAUGCGUAGAUAUCGUAAGGAAGACCAGUGGCGAAGGCGGGUCUCUGGACAGUUCCUGACGCUGAGGCACGAAGGCCAGGGGAGCAAACGGG
rnacentral:rRNA from 1 species